GGGAAAGUAUUCCUGUAUGACGAAAGAUGACGUUUCUGAAACGGCUGUGUUCAUGUUUAGAGCAGCACAAUCAGAGAUCUAACCUUUUUAAUUACCAGCUACAGUGGAUUAGAUAGUAGUAGAGACAGUAUUAACAGCUACAGUAGAUUAGUUAGUAGUAGAGACAGUAUUAACAGCUACAGUAGAUUAGAUAGUAGUAGAGACAGUAUUACCAGCUACAGUAGAUUAGAUAGUAUUACCAGCUACAGUAGAUUAGAUAGUAGUAGAGACAGUAUUACCAGCUACAGUAGAUUAGAUAGUAGUAGAGACAGUAUUAACAGCUACAGUGGAUUAGAUAGUAGUAGAGACAGUAUUAACAGCUACAGUAGAUUAGAUAGUAGUAGAGACAGUAUUACCAGCUACAGUGGAUUAGAUAGUAGUAGAGACAGUAUUAACAGCUACAGUAGAUUAGUUAGUAGAGACAGUAUUAACAGCUACAGUAGAUUAGAUAGUAGUAGUAUCAGUACUAAUAUAGCCCCUUACCAUUUCCCUCCGUAG
rnacentral:lncRNA from 13 species